rnacentral:rRNA from 1 species
UCCUACGGGAGGCAGCAGUGAGGAAUAUUGCGCAAUGGACGGAAGUCUGACGCAGCAAUGCCGCGUGCGGGAUGAAGGCGCUAUGCGUCGUAAACCGCUGUAGCGUGGGGCAAAAAGCACCUUUGGGGUGUUAGAUGGCACCACGAAAGUAAGCAUCGGCUAACUACGUGCCAGCAGCCGCGGUAAUACGUAGGAUGCAAGCGUUGUCCGGAUUUACUGGGUGUAAAGGGUGCGCAGGCGGGCUGGUAAGUCAGAGGUGAAAGCCCGGAGCUUAACUCCGGAAAUGCCUUUGAUACUGCCAGUCUUGAAUAUGAGAGAGGUUCAUGGAAUAUGUGGUGUAGCGGUGAAAUGCGUAGAUAUCACAUAGAACACCAGUGGCGAAGGCGGUGAACUGGCUCAUUAUUGACGCUCAUGCACGAAAGUGUGGGUAGCAAACAGGAUUAGAUACCCUGGUAGUCCACACCUUAAACGAUGUAUGCUUGAUGUUGGGGUAGCAAUACCUCAGUGUCGUAGGAAAUCCGAUAAGCAUACCACCUGGGAAGUACGAUCGCAAGGUUGAAACUCAAAGGAAUUGACGGGGA